rnacentral:lncRNA from 1 species
AUUCUUUCCACCCUGGAUGAAGAGAAGCCACUGUGGAUAUUAAUCAGUAGUAUUUGCUCCCUGGUCUGUUAUCUGAGUCUUUUGGGGUGCUCAGUGAUUACAGCAGGCCAGCUCUAGAUCCAGAUCUCCUCCCCACCUACAGGUCAUUGGAUAUGUAUUGCUUAGAAAGGCUCUUGACAAGGCAGACAGGACAUCCAGAUAAUGAUCACCUUGAAGAACGUGGUGCUUAAAAAGGUGCUGCUGGGCCCCUGGCAGGAGGUGGAAGGUGGCAGUGGCAAAGCUGGGUGGUGGUAAAGCCGUGAUUGCUAGCUCCUUCAGAUGCCGCUUUCCUGGUGAGUGAGCGGUAUGUAUAAGAAUAUUCU